ACCUGAUACCCACCCUGCCCCCCUCCCCUUCUCGGGCGAGCAGCCGCCGCUUUCCUUUCCCCUCCACGAACACUCGGCGUUGACAAAUCUCAUUCAGACUCUCUAGGGCGCUGCCACCUCCACCAAGCUUGUCUCUCUCGUCGCUAGUCAUGCCGACGGUCAAGAUCGUCGAAUUCGACAGCGUCGCCCCGCCGCCGGAGGACUUGUUACUCAGGCUGUCCGCGUUGGAAGCACCGUGGGUCGUACUCCCGGUCAUCCAGCGCGUGUUCCUCUUCGACGACGCCGGGAGCCAGCACCCGCCCUUCGCAUCUCUCGUCGGCUCCCUCCGCGCGUCACUGGCGGCCACGCUCGCGCGGCUUCCCUCGCUCGCCGGAAGGAUCGUCUUCCUGCCGUCUACCGGCGACGCCGCAAUCGAAUGCUCCGCCUCCGAGGGAAGCGGCGUGCGGUUCAUCGUCGCGGAGAGCGACGAGGCGGACGCUGGGCGGCUCGGCGGGGACGCGGACCACGACGUGGACGCGUUCAAGGCGUUCGUACCGAAGCUCAAGGUCGACGUGCUCCCUGCGGAGGUGCUGGCUGUGCAGGUCACACGGUUGAAGGGUGGGGUGGCGGUCGGCGUGGCGAUGCACCACGCAGUGGUCGACGGCCGGUCGGUAUGGAGGUUCUUCCAGGCGUGGGCGGCGGCCUGCCGCGGGGACGACGCUCCCGCAGAGGCGGUUGUGGCCGGCCUGACGUUCGACCGCGCGGUGAUCGCGCUCCCCGGCGGCGAGGAGCUCACGAGGAGCACGCUGCGUAAGUACGCGCCCAAUCUGCCGCUGGACAUCAACCUGUUUCCUAGCGCCCCAAUUAAUCUCCCUCGCCGGACGUUCACCGUCACCGCGCAGCACAUUGACCGCCUGAAGCAACGUAUUUCCGGCCACACGACCUCCGCGCAAGCCGGUUCCACACCUGCACCGUCCAGCUUCGUGGCGGUCGUGGCGCUCGCCUGGGUGUCCUUCGUCCGGGCUAAGCACCCGGCUGUCAUCUCCGCCGACCACGACGUCUACGUCUUCUUCUUCAUCGACUGCCGCGGGCGGCGCGGGACCUCCUCGCCGUAGAUGGCUUCGCAGCCGCCACGGCGGCGGUGCAGCUGGAGGUCCGCCGCGCGGCCGAGGACCCGCUCGCCGUUUGGGACUGGAUGGACCUGGUGUCAUGGCUACCAAUGGACCGGAUGGUGAACAUCUCCGGGUCACCGCGUUACCCGGCGUACGAGGUGGCCGACUUCGGGUGGGGUGCGCCAAGUAGGACGGAGCUGAUCACCAUGAACAAUUGCGGGCAGGUGGUGCUCGUGGCUGCCAAGGGCGGGGGCGGCAGCGUGCAGGCAUCCGUGUGCGUGCACCCGGAUAACAUGGGCGCGUUCAAGUCGCACUUGUUAAAGUAA